AUGACAGGUAGAGCAUCGCGGCAUCCGCCCUACGAUGUGUCAGGCACUCGGCAACAACCCUGGACCGCACGUCGUCGUUGGAGUCGGACAUGGCUUUCUCUGUUUCUCCAUCUGCUCCCGUCGACGGAGGCCCAUGUGGUGUUGCGCCAGGCCGUGUGCAUCAUAUCCGGCGGCGAUGAAGCAUGCAAGUUGAUGGGCAAGAACUGUGGACCGUGCGGACGGCGAUGGAGUGAUGGGAGGAAGGCACGUCAGAGAUGGAGAUGGGGCAGUUCCGUGUCCAUGGUGUCCAUGACACCAUGGUCGUAG
rnacentral:rRNA from 1 species